UACGGAGGGGGCUAGCGUUGUUCGGAAUUACUGGGCGUAAAGCGCACGCAGGCGGUCUGUCAAGUCGGAUGUGAAAUCCCCGGGCUCAACCUGGGAACUGCAUUCGAAACUGGCAGGCUAGAGUCUUGUAGAGGGGGGUAGAAUUCCAGGUGUAGCGGUGAAAUGCGUAGAGAUGUGGAGGAACACCGAUGGCGAAGGCAGCCCCCUGGGCUGAGAUUGACGCUCAGGCACGAAAGCGUGGGGAGCAAACAGG
rnacentral:rRNA from 1 species